ACUCAUUGGAUUUGACGGGGGCCCGCACAAGCGGUGGAGCUUGUGGUUUAAUUCGAAGCAACGCGAAGAACCUUACCUGGUCUUGACAUCCUUUGACCACUCUGGAGUCAGAGCUUUCCCUUCGGGGACAUAGUGACUGGUGGUGCUUGGUUGUCGUCAGCUCGUGUCGUGAGAUGUUGGGUUAAGUCCCGCAUCGAGCGCAACCCUUGAUUUUUGUUGCCAGCAUUUUGUUGGGCACUCUUAAGUGACUGCCGGUGCAAGCCGGAGG
rnacentral:rRNA from 1 species